AGUCUCGUGCACUGGAUAGCAGAGAAAUUUAGUGCCAAAUUUGCAACCAGACUCUGUAAGAUUUUACGUUCUAUAUCCCUGCAUAGUUAAUCGAGGGGAUUAACUAUGAUCCCUGUCAGUUUUGUGUAAACGUGUCUUGUGAACGACUUAUUUUUCUGCGGUUGAUAAAUGUCCAGAGUUUUGGUGUGUUGAUAAAAAUCGUUUAUUUCUAUUCAGGGUAUUCUCAUUUUCUCUUCACUCUUUUGACGGAAUUUGAACGAGUGUUCAACGGACGAGCGCUUAUUGCCAACUCAGAGGACACGAACGCGUACAGCCACUUGCACCAGCACACUUUCUAAUGCCAAGAAGAUCCAUCUGUCGACCUUCAGGUGUGUUAGAGAAAGCUGACCAGUACCGAAGGAAGUAGAACUGAAAAGGCUGAUAUCCGAUGGAAAUGGAAAUACAAAGCUUAAAGAGACACUGUCACGCUCGACCGUCAUUAUGUAAUUAUUGGAUUUGAACGAGCAGUCGUCAUCUGCCUAUGAAGGCCGUAGAGUUCGCCCGAGGCUUACCUAUAUUCCAAUUAUAAUGUGUAGUAGAAUAAACAUCUGCCUUGCAAAUGCUACAAAUGUCU